UACGUAGGGGGCAAGCGUUGUCCGGAUUUAUUGGGCGUAAAGGGCGCGUAGGCGGCAAAUUAAGUCAGCUGUGAAAUCUCCGAGCUUAACUCGGAACUGUCAGCUGAUACUGAUCUGCUAGAGUGCGGAAGGGGCAAUCGGAAUUCUUGGUGUAGCGGUGAAAUGCGUAGAUAUCAAGAGGAACACCUGAGGUGAAGACGGGUUGCUGGGCCGACACUGACGCUGAGUGCGCGAAAGCCAGGGGAGCAAACGGG
rnacentral:rRNA from 1 species